UACGGGAGGCAGCAGUGGGGAAUAUUGCACAAUGGGCGCAAGCCUGAUGCAGCCAUGCCGCGUGUAUGAAAAGGCCUUCGGGUUGUAAAGUACUUUCAGUCGUGAGGAAGGUGUUAAGGUUAAUAACCUUAGCAAUUGACGUUAGCGACAGAAGAAGCACCGGCUAACUCCGUGCCAGCAGCCGCGGUAAUACGGAGGGUGCGAGCGUUAAUCGGAAUUACUGGGCGUAAAGGGCACGCAGGCGGUUAAUUAAGUUGGAUGUGAAAUCCCCGGGCUUAACCUGGGAAUGGCAUUCAAGACUGGUUAGCUAGAGUCUUGUAGAGGGGGUAGAAUUCCAUGUGUAGCGGUGAAAUGCGUAGAGAUGUGGAGGAAUACCGGGUGGCGAAGGCGGCCCCUGGACAAAGACUGACGCUCAUGUGCGAAAGCGUGGGGAGCAAACAGGGAUUAGAUA
rnacentral:rRNA from 1 species